AGUGAACGCUGGCGGCAUGCUUUACACAUGCAAGUCGAACGGCAGCGCGGGCUUCGGCCUGGCGGCGAGUGGCGAACGGGUGAGUAAUGCAUCGGAACGUGCCCAGUAGUGGGGGAUAGCCCGGCGAAAGCCGGAUUAAUACCGCAUACGACCUGAGGGUGAAAGCGGGGGACCGAAAGGCCUCGCGCUAUGGGAGCGGCCGAUGUCGGAUUAGCUAGUUGGUGGGGUAAAGGCUUACCAAGGCGACGAUCCGUAGCUGGUCUGAGAGGACGACCAGCCACACUGGGACUGAGACACGGCCCAGACUCCUACGGGAGGCAGCAGUGGGGAAUUUUGGCCACUGGGGGCAACCCUGAUCCAGCCAUGCCGCGUGCGGGAAGAAGGCCUUCGGGUUGUAAACCGCUUUUGUUCGGGAAGAAAUCCUCUGGGCUAAUACCCCGGGGGGAUGACGGUCCCGGAAGCAUAAGCACCGGCUCCCUACGUG
rnacentral:rRNA from 1 species